GGGUAGCCAAGUGCGGGAGGGAUAAGCGCUGAAAGCAUCUAAGCGCGAAGCCCGCCUCAAGAUGAGAUUUCCCAAUCAGUAAGACCCCUUGGAGAACACGAGGUUGAUAGGCUCGGGGUGUAAGCACAGCAAUGUGUGUAGCUGACGAGUACUAAUCGGUCGAGGGCUUAUCCUAA
rnacentral:rRNA from 1 species